rnacentral:lncRNA from 1 species
CCAAGCACGAAGAUCAUCCAAAUCUAGAGAAAUUAUGAAGGAAAAUUACAUGACAACAAACCUUAUACCAUGAUUUUAAGGUUACUAUAGACUAUCUACUGAUAAUCGAAGAGCUAAUAGUAGAUUGCAAUAGGAUGGAGAAGGUUCUGAAGAGCGAUUGCCAUGGAACUGUCGAGGAGUGUAGAAAUGAGAAAACCUUGAGCAAAAAUGAUGUCGUUUUGGUUGUCAAGGAACGACGUCAUUUCGAAACAAAAGAUGUAUUUUUAUUUUUUAUUUUUAUAUAUACAUAAAACGUCGUCAUUUUGCAAAGGAAAGGAAGAGAG